CGAGAGGGGGAUGGAGGGAAGAGAGAGAAAGAGGGAUGGAGGCACAGACUGGCAGAUCACUCCGGUAAACAGACCAAUACAGCACGUCAGGGAGAUCUCGCCCCAUGAGACCGACCAAUCCGGUGGUACAGAAUCUGAUUCCACCAACAUGCGCUUCCAACCCCUAGUUCUGCACAAGGUUUAGGUUAUCUGGAGUCAUUCCACAGUACCCUGCUGAAGAAAUAUCCCAAAGCGGGGGCAUUGUGUGUACACAUACAUGAGGGAGCAGACACACUUUGCGGUUAUGGAGCACAACAGGAUUGUGGGACAGAAACCAGUGUCAUGUCUUUGGCUAUGCCGGAUUAAGUGAUAUGACAUGCUAUUCUAUAAAAUAAUUUCUCCGUAAUUAAUAUUACCUGAUUGAGCUUAUCAU